UGCAGUCGAGCGGUAGCACAGGGGAGCUUGCUCCCUGGGUGACGAGCGGCGGACGGGUGAGUAAUGUCUGGGAAACUGCCUGAUGGAGGGGGAUAACUACUGGAAACGGUAGCUAAUACCGCAUAACGUCGCAAGACCAAAGAGGGGGACCUUCGGGCCUCUUGCCAUCAGAUGUGCCCAGAUGGGAUUAGCUAGUAGGUGGGGUAAUGGCUCACCUAGGCGACGAUCCCUAGCUGGUCUGAGAGGAUGACCAGCCACACUGGAACUGAGACACGGUCCAGACUCCUACGGGAGGCAGCAGUGGGGAAUAUUGCACAAUGGGCGCAAGCCUGAUGCAGCCAUGCCGCGUGUGUGAAGAAGGCCUUCGGGUUGUAAAGCACUUUCAGCGAGGAGGAAGGUGGUGAGCUUAAUACGCUCAUCAAUUGACGUUACUCGCAGAAGAAGCACCGGCUAACUCCGUGCCAGCAGCCGCGGUAAUACGGAGGGUGCAAGCGUUAAUCGGAAUUACUGGGCGUAAAGCGCACGCAGGCGGUUUGUUAAGUCAGAUGUGAAAUCCCCGGGCUCAACCUGGGAACUGCAUUUGAAACUGGCAAGCUAGAGUCUCGUAGAGGGGGGGUAGAAUUCCAGGUCGGGUUGUAAAGCACUUUCAGCGAGGAGGAAAGUUGGUGAGCUUUAAUACGCUCAUCAAUUGACGUUUACUCGCAGAAGAAGCACCCGGCUAACUCCGUUGCCAGCAGCCGCGGUAAUACGGAGGGUGCAAGCGUUUAUCGGAAUUACUGGGCGUAAAGCGCACGCAGGCGGUUUGUUAAGUCAGAUGUGAAAUUCCCCGGGCUCAACCUGGGAACUGCAUUUGAAACUGGCAAGCUAGAGUCUCGUAGAGGGGGGUAGAAUUUCCAGGUGUAGCGGUGAAAUGCGUAGAGAUCUGGAGGAAUACCGGUGGCGAAGGCGGCCCCCUGGACGAAGACUGACGCUCAGGUGCGAAAGCGUGGGGAGCAAACAGGAUUAGAUACCCUGGUAGUCCACGCUGUAAACGAUGUCGAUUUGGAGGUUGUGCCCUUGAGGCGUGGCUUCCGGAGCUAACGCGUUAAAUCGACCGCCUGGGGAGUACGGCCGCAAGGUUAAAACUCAAAUGAAUUGACGGGGGCCCGCACAAGCGGUGGAGCAUGUGGUUUAAUUCGAUGCAACGCGAAGAACCUUACCUACUCUUGACAUCCAGAGAACUUAGCAGAGAUGGUUUGGUGCCUUCGGGAACUCUGAGACAGGUGCUGCAUGGCUGUCGUCAGCUCGUGUUGUGAAAUGUUGGGUUAAGUCCCGCAACGAGCGCAACCCUUAUCCUUUGUUGCCAGCGGUUCGGCCGGGAACUCAAAGGAGACUGCCAGUGAUAAACUGGAGGAAGGUGGGGAUGACGUCAAGUCAUCAUGGCCCUUACGAGUAGGGCUACACACGUGCUACAAUGGCGUAUACAAAGAGAAGCGACCUCGCGAGAGCAAGCGGACCUCAUAAAGUACGUCGUAGUCCGGAUUGGAGUCUGCAACUCGACUCCAUGAAGUCGGAAUCGCUAGUAAUCGUAGAUCAGAAUGCUACGGUGAAUACGUUCCCGGGCCUUGUACACACCGCCCGUCACACCAUGGGAGUGGGUUGCAAAAGAAGUAGGUAGCUGAUGUGUU
rnacentral:rRNA from 1 species